rnacentral:misc_RNA from 1 species
AUGCCUUUGGUUCCGGUUGGUGAUAUUUUAUAGUUUCUUCAUUAAUUUGCUUUAGGCAUAAAGUUUGGUUAAGAAAUGAUGCUUUAACUGUUGAAUUAAAUUACUAAAACUAAAGUGCUUGUAUUGGGGGAGCUUUGCACUUUUGGGCUUGUGAGACCUGGCCUAGUGCAGUCCAUGUGAACCAAAUGGUCAGUUGGUCUUCAAUUUAUUUCAUUAACUGAUCCAUGCAUGCAAUCACCUCUUUUUUUUCUAUCUUUUCUUUUUUAGUUAUAUUGCAUUCAAUGAUGAACAUGGAUAAAAGAACUAAAGAAUACAUACAAAGGAGGAGAGUGUGUACCGUGUGUAUUAUUGCAACUAAGAAGCUCAAUGCAUAAUUACAUUAUUAGGGGUUGCUAGCAAU